GACGCACCCGGAGAGACCGUACCGCCUUUGCACGGCGGAGGUCAGGGGUUCGACUCCCCUCGGCUCCA
rnacentral:tRNA from 1 species